UUUUUCCCUCGGUGCUAAUUGUGACGGAUGCCGAGUGCUGUCUGCCAGAGCUGAGCAUCACAAGCCGCUGGCCCUUCACUUCCUCAGCCUGAGCCGCAGACCUCAAAAGACCAUUGCAACUGUACCUGGUUGUGCCUCCAACAGGGUAAAGAUUAGAAGUCUGAAGUUAGUUCCUCUCCCCGCAAGAUGGCAGCAUUUCGGCGUCUUCUUAGAGGAAACCCAGAGCCCAAUGUUGUAGUUGCUACCCAUGGUUGCUACCAAGCUCCACAAGACUUGACUGCAUGAUGGAUCUGAGCGGCUAUUUAUUUAAAAAAAAU